rnacentral:rRNA from 1 species
UAACCUGCCUUAUAUGGGGGAUAGCCUUUCGAAAGGAAGAUUAAUACCGCAUAAGAUUGUAGUAUCGCAUGAUAUAGCAAUUAAAGGAGCAAUCCGCUAUAAGAUGGACCCGCGUCGCAUUAGCUAGUUGGUGAGGUAAUGGCUCACCAAGGCGACGAUGCGUAGCCGACCUGAGAGGGUGAUCGGCCACAUUGGGACUGAGACACGGCCCAGACUCCUACGGGAGGCAGCAUG